rnacentral:sRNA from 1 species
UAUCUUUCUGCAACCAAGUGGCGCUGACAGUUGUUAGCCAGAAAGUUUAAUGAACAGUUCUGAAGACCAGCCGUUAGAGGAUAAAGAUGAAGGACGACAAUGACAUAAAGGAUGGAAAUCAUACCAACUACCGGAGGAAAGCAUAAAAUUGGCUACCAAGGCUACAUGUAUUCAAAACAGAUCUCCAAAGUAUCUCAUGUACGAUGAAGAUGAGUUUAAUAAUUUAUUUUCGUGCAUAAUGUUCCGGAACCACUACUAGUUGUUAUCAUUGUGACUGCUGACAAAUUACAGUUCAUAAGCACCGACCUGUUCUAACACUUGAUAAAAAAAGUAUGUUCACACAUGAAUGUGGUUCCAAAUAAUGUGAAAGUUUAGCAGCAAGUGUUUUUAAGUGCGAAUAUACAGCUUCUGGUACCCAUGAAUUCCCGCGAAAGAAAUGACUGGAACUUCGCUUUCAGGUCAUAAUUUUCUAGGAGGUAUGUUACCUGGAGCGGAAUCAGCUUCUGCAUUAAAUGGUGAGCUGAGGAUAUUGAAAGCUGGUUCCAUGUUCCUGACGUCUUAAAAUUUGCUAUAAGUUCCACAAUCAAGGAGUCCAAAUAUGUCUUGUACAAGCAGAAAUAGUUUCACCUUUCAGCUAAGAAAAAUGAUAAAGCCUAAUUUCACUUGCUGGCCUAAAAAAAUGGAAUAGCU